CGGCAGUUCAGAAGGAACUAGCUUCUAGGGGCUUCUGAUGCUGAUGUCGCUUGCCGCGUCUGCCGCGUGAAAUACCUCGGCAGGCGCGGUAUAACCUGUAUAACCUCAAUUCCUUAGUACCUCAGUCGCAGUUAUCAGAGUUGUCAGUUAUCACGUUAUCAGUUUAAUCAGUAAAUAAUGUCUGCGAAAAUGAAAAUUCAUGAGUGGUUGCAGUGCAUUCAUAUAAUUAACGAACAAAAUGCAGAAGCAGACCGACGUGACAAGCUGCUCGGAUCAUUAGCUUUGUUAUUAGCUAGAAAAAAGAAACGGAUUAACAAAAAGAAGCGUUUCUGGGUUGCGCCAAUUUAAAAAAAACGCUGUGAGUAUGGUUUUUACCAUGCCUUACUGCCAACACUAAAAUUGGAAGAUCUGUCGUUCCAUAAUUAUUUUCGGAUGUCAACCACGCAAUUGGAAGAGUUGUUAGCCAUUGUAGGCCCACAUAUGGAGAAACAAUACGUCGUGCGAGAACCGAUAGGUGCAGCAGAACGAUUGACAUUGACAUUACGAUUUCUGGCAGCUGGUGACUCCAUGUCUUCAAUGAUGUAUUAAUAUUUGAUAGGUUUGACGACUGUAAGCAAUAUUAUUGCUACAACGUGCAAGACUAUUUGGGAACACCUGUGUCCUUUGGUCCUUCCACCUCGACUAUUCGAAGAUGACUGGCGGAGGAUCGCAGAAGAUUUUGAAGAUAUAUGGGACUUUCCGCAUUGCAUUGGGGCAAUCGAUGGAAAGCACGUAAUCAUUCAAUGUCCGGACAAUGCUGGCUCCAAUUUCUAUAACUACAAACACAGUCACAGCAUUGUGCUAUUAGCUAUUUGUGAUGCCAAUUACGUUUUCCGGUUCGUCGAUAUUGGUGCAUAUGGCAGACGAAGUGAUGGAGGCAUUUUUCGUGAAAGCCGAAUGGGUCAACAACUUGAUGCAGGGAAAAUGAAUGUGUACUUUCUGCAAUAAAAAAAAUAUCAAUAUCA